AGCAUUUUUUCUUUUGUGUUCUCAAAUUACAAACUUGUAUAUUCCAGUUGUUCAUCUUGUUUUCCUCUGCUGCACAAAAAUUGCAUUUUAAGCAUUAUAAAAGUAUCUGUUGCCUUUGGCCCGACCAAAAUUUGUAUGCAAAAUGCUUGAAAAAUGCAUAGUUCACAUGUUGUGGGAGGCAGGUUUUUGAGGGGGCGAUCGAAAGAGUGAGUUACGUAGGCGAGUUCGGUUCAAUAUUGAAAGUGCACUUGGUUUGUGUGGUUCAGCCGCAGCAUAGUAACAACAACAACAAUAACAACAACAACAGCAACAACAAUAGCAGCAGCUACAGCAACGAGACAAACAAUGUGCAACAAUGUUGUAAUCAACAAAAAUGUCAUCAUCAACGACGCCAGCAGUUGAGGCAGUUCAAUGUGUGUGUGUCUCUCUCUCUAUGUGUAUGUGUGUAUGUGUGUGAGUGGAGGAAAACUCUGGAAAAUGGUCAGUGACAACGUCAAGCGAAGAGCUCAUCGAUGUCAUCAACACGUAAGCAGCACAAAAAAAUGAUACAAGACAAGGGAAAACAUAUGUCCACCGAGGGAAACAACAAAAUACCCUGUGAAAGAGAAGAUUAAAGAGCGAUUUGUAGCGAUCGAUCACAACGAAGUAGAAUCAAGUGAGCUGAAUAAAGUUAAAAAUACAUUCAAUAAUUGGCCAAUUUCUUGUUAUUUUCUA